rnacentral:other from 1 species
GCGUUCCUGCCGCGUUUGUGUGCGGCUUCCAAAAAUUGAUCCAACAGUCAAUGUCAUGGGGUCCGGCUCGAUUUCGUGCUGUUGAGCAAGCUCCGGCGGCUAAGACCCGCCAUGGAGAAGCCUGAAGGCGCGCGGAGGACUCCACCCUGCUGAGUUCGGGGUCAAAUGACGGAAGCUAGGACGGCGUAGUGGUGCGCU